rnacentral:lncRNA from 1 species
GUCGGAGCGCUGAAGAAGACACAGGUGGUGCAGCAAGAUGCCAAGAGGGUUGGGUCAGAAGGUAAGUGUGUGUAGGACGGUGCACUCAAGAUUUGCGGUAAGAGGGUAUGUAAAUCUUUGAAUGUUUGGACGCAGUGUUUAGUGAAGCUAAAUUUUAUUAGUUUUUUCCUUUGUAAUUGUAUCAAUGGUUGUUACUGUGUCUAAAAACAACUCUUUUGUGACAGAAGAACAAUUCCUAUUCUAUAUAAUCAGGGUUUUUUUUGUCUGAACGAGGAUAUAUAAAUCUUUGAAAGUUUGAACCCAGUGUUUAUUGAAUCUAAAUUUUAUUUGAAUGGCGAGAAGUUUGCUAAAGGGUUAAUAAGCAACAUGAAGCAGUUUUAUAAAGCAGCAAAAUCUGCUGAGUAAUAAAAACAACCUUAAUUACAAAAUUCGUUUUGAUUUUCAAGGUAUGUAAAAACUUACAUGAGGGUUCUGUAAGUUUUUUAUGUAACAUGUGAGUCUUUUAAUUUAGGACUGACAGUACAAACAUUUUUAAAUACAUCGUAUGCCUCAUGUUAAAGUUGGCAAGACUAGUAAAACCCACACAUCUAGAUAAUAAGUAUGAGGAGUUUGAGUUUGAGUUAUUUUUAUUAUCAGGGACAGGACAACAUGAUGCAUUGUUCAAAUUUUGAUUGAGAAAAGUCGUAAGGUAGUUUCAUCAUCGGAAAAUGAUAAUAGAGUACAUAAUGGCAAGAGAAACAUCGAGAAAGUGUGUUACAAAUUCUAUUAACCAGAUUUGAUAGUACAUGAUCCUUAAACACAUAAGAAAAGGAAAUUCAAGACAACUGCAUUUUCCAGUGCUUCAAUUGCUGACUAGUGCUUCUUGGACAGGUUGUGGAAGGUUUGAAAUGUUCCCCUUGAUGAUGAGGAUUUGGUGAAGAAGUAAUCCUCUCUCUGUAAUUAUGCCAUCAUGCCAAAUUAUAGGUAAAUUUAUAAGGGGGCAUCGGGUGGGAAUUGGUGAAAGGAUUGUAACAGUGUUUGAGGAACAUACAUGAGUAAGAAUCUCUUCAAGAGAUGUUCCAUUAAAAUGUCUAGCAAUGUGAAUGGCGCAGACGCCAGAGUCAUUCCUGAUUGACAAAAAAUGGAUGAAUUAAAUUGAGCAUCCUGUCCACGUGAUUGGAAAAGAUGAAAAGAAAUAACUUACUUUGGGCA